UACGAAGGGGGCUAGCGUUGCCCGGAAUCACUGGGCGUAAAGCGCACGUAGGCGGCUUUUUAAGUCAGGGGUGAAAUCCUGGAGCUCAACUCCAGAACUGCCUUUGAUACUGGGAAGCUUGAGUCCGGGAGAGGUGAGUGGAACUCCGAGUGUAGAGGUGAAAUUCGUAGAUAUUCGGAAGAACACCAGUGGCGAAGGCGGCUCACUGGCCCGGUACUGACGCUGAGGUGCGAAAGCGUGGGGAGCAAACAGG
rnacentral:rRNA from 1 species